rnacentral:rRNA from 1 species
CCUACGGGAGGCAGCAGUGGGGAAUAUUGCACAAUGGGGGAAACCCUGAUGCAGCGACGCCGCGUGAGUGAAGAAGUAUUUCGGUAUGUAAAGCUCUAUCAGCAGGAACGAGACAAGACGGUACCUGACUAAGAAGCCCCGGCUAACUACGUGCCAGCAGCCGCGGUAAUACGUAGGGGGCAAGCGUUAUCCGGAAUCACUGGGUGUAAAGGGAGCGUAGACGGCUGUGCAAGCCUGAAGUGAAAGGCGGUGGCCCAACCCCUGGACUGCUUUGGGAACUGUACGGCUGGAGUGCAGGAGAGGUAAGUGGAAUUCCUAGUGUAGCGGUGAAAUGCGGAGAUAUUAGGAGGAACACCAGUGGCGAAGGCGGCUUACUGGACUGUAACUGACGUUGAGGCUCGAAAGCGUGGGGAGCAAACAGGAUUAGAUACCCCAGUAGUC